AAAGCUCAUUCUCAUCUCAAUCUCGCUCACAGUCUCUGUAUUUUCCAAAUACUUUGCCAGGCAAUCGUAUUUAUAACGUUUUCCCAUUUAAUCUAUUCCAACAAUCAGAGGGGGUCACAGAUCGAAACCCAAGCCGGUGAGAAAGGGCUGAAACUGGGACGGGCUGGAGAAUGCUCUGCAAAGUCCUAAGGACGUCUUCAGAGAGAGAGCUGCAAUUGGCUGAGCCAAGGCUGAGACACCGCUGCAUUUCCAGACCCAGGGAGGAGACCAAGGAUGACAGCUUCUCUGAAAACCAUCAGUUGAGUCACAGAGCAACACAUCCCUCAUCACUUGGACCAGGCACAUCAGCUGCAGGCGGCCUCAACUCACCUGUGUCCUGAAGCAUCUCGGGAAAACCAUCACCCUCGUUGGCCUGAUAGAUACCAGAGCUGACAUCACUCUGAUAUCAAAAUUGAAAUGGCCACAGGACUGGACCAUUGUACCCACGUUGGACCAACUGGCAGGUAUUGGUGGUCACUGUAAAAGCUUUUGUAGCUUGCACUCGGUCACAUUUGAAGGACCUGAAGGUCGUGUUGCCACCACAAAACCAUUCAUAGUAGGAGCUGAUAUAGUCCUUUGGGGAAAAGACAUUCUCUCACAACAGGGUCUGAGACUAGAAACAGAUUUCUAACAAGGGCUGUUGAUGGACACAACACUCUAAAACUCACGUGGGCAUCCAAUACACCUGUCUGGGUCAGCCAAUGGCCCUUACCAGAAGAGAAACUUGCUGUAUUAGAGCAAUUAGUACAGGAACAGUUAAACAAAGGUCACCUAAUUCCAACUACCAGCCCCUGGAACACUCCGGUUUUUGUAAUCAAAAAGCCAAACAGUGGGAAAUGGAGGUUAUUGCAGGAUCUCAGAAAAGUUAACAAAGUGAUUCAAGAAAUGGGUUCUUUACAACCAGGUUUAUCUUCUCCUGUUAUGAUUCCAAAGGAUUGGAAGUUAACUGUUAUUGAUUUGAAAGACUGUUUUUUCAAUAUUUGUUUUCAUCCAGAUGAUGCACCAUGUUUUGCCUUUUCCAUCCCAUCAAUAAAACAGCAGGCUCCUUUAAAAAGAUAUAAUUGGCUCGUACUUCCUCAAGGUAUGCGCAAUUGUCUGAGUAUAUGCCAGUGGUAUGUAGCAAAAGUACUUUCCUCAGUUCAUAUACAGUACCCGAAUUCCCUCAUCUUACAUUAUAUGGAUGAUAUUUUAGUAGCAGCAAAAGACCAAGCAUCAAUGCAGCAGACAACAGAUCAGGUCAUCUCAGCAGUGGAGAAAGCAGGACUCACAGUAGUGAAGGAGAAAAUACAGACACUUCCUCCCUGGAAAUAUUUAGGAUACAGAAUCACAGAAUAGACUGUAACUCCACAACCACUCCAACUAAGGAAAAAUCCAAAAACACUGAAUGAAGUGCAGCAGCUGGUAGGGACUCUGAACUGGCUUCAUCCAGUGCUAGGCAUUUCAAACCAGGACUUAGCUCCUCUGUCUAAUCUACUGAAGGGAGACACAGCUUUAAACUCACCAUGAGAAUUCAACAAAGAAGCCCAAAAUGCUUUAGAUAAAGUGAUGCGAGUCAUCCAGCUCAUUGGUAUAAUGCUAACUUGUCUUUUUUGUUUGCAGUUUUAGGGGAGAGUCUACAGCUUCACGGUCUAAUAUUCCAGUGGGAUUUAGAGAAGAUCAACCAUCUGAUAAUCUUAGAAUGGGUUUUCCUAUCUCGUCAGCUGGGUAAAACUAUAACAACUUGCCCUGAAAUUAUAUCACAAUUGAUUAUAAAGGCUAGAUCCUGAAUGUUUUCCCUUUCAGGAAAGUAUUUUGCAGAAAUCUUUCUGCCUGUCACAUCCGUCUAUUUGGAAUGGUUAAUUCAAAAUUCAGAGGUUAUGCAAUUUGCCCUAGAAAAUUUUACAGGGAAAAUUUUGGUUAAUUGUCCGAAACAUCAGCUACUAAAUUCAUCUCUGAAAUUAAUUCAUAAGCCCUUAAGAAGUCAUGAACCCCUUGAUGCAAUCACAUUUUUACAGACAGUUCAGGUAAGUCUAAAAAAUCUGUGAUUGCUUGGCAAAAUCCAGAGACAAAAAAAUGGAAAUCAGAUAUUGAAGAAGUAGAUGGUUCUUCACAAAUUACAGAGUUAACAGCAGUUGUGCGAGUCUUUUCAAAAUUCAG